rnacentral:rRNA from 1 species
AUAUUGGUCAAUGGGCGCUAGCCUGAACCAGCCAAGUAGCGUGAAGGAUGACUGCCCUAUGGGUUGUAAACUUCUUUUGUGCGGGAGCAAUAAGGUCCACGUGUGGGCCGACGAGAGUACCGUACGAAUAAGCAUCGGCUAACUCCGUGCCAGCAGCCGCGGUAAUACGGGGGAUGCAAGCGUUAUCCGGAUUUAUUGGGUUUAAAGGGUGCGUAGGCGGGAUGCCAAGUCAGCGGUCAAAUACGGGGGCUCAACCUGCGUCCGCCGUUGAAACUGGCGUUCUUGAGUGGGCGAGAAGUACGCGGAAUGCGUGGUGUAGCGGUGAAAUGCAUAGAUAUCACGCAGAACCCCGAUUGCGAAGGCAGCGUACCGGCGCCCUACUGACGCUGAAGCACGAAAGCGUGGGUAUCGAACAA